rnacentral:rRNA from 1 species
AUAUUCAUUAUGUGAAAAAUUCAUCAUUACGAUUAUGCUAUACGUUUUGGAAUAAAAACAAAAUAAUAGUAUAAUAAUGGUGUGCACUUUUUUCACAUCACGAACAUUGUAAUCUAUUAAUUGUAAUUAUAAUGGAUUUAUCAAACGGGUGCAUAUAUGAAAUUGCUUAUUUGAUCUUUGUAAAUUUAUUUAUUGAAGUAUNGAAUAAAUUUCGAAAUGUGUGCCCUGAUAAAGUUUUAAUAGAUUUUAAUAUUAUAUAAUGCUAAAAUAUAUGUAUAUAUAUUUUGCAAAGAGUUACAGUCGUCUAUAUAUGUAAUAAUAUAUGGCACUGUAUCGAAUUGCUUGCAUUCAUAUAAUUAACAAUGCGAAAGAUUCAGGAUACCCUCGAGACCCGUCUUGAAACACGGACCAAGGAGUUUAACAUAUAUGCAAGUUAUUAAGGUACNAUAUAUAUAUGUUUUCACAUGUAUAUUAUAAAUGUAAAACUUAAUAGCGAAAUUAACAUAACUACACUCCAGUAUAUAUUUAUAUAUAUUAUAUGGGAUUAGUUUCUUGUUCUAUGAAUUAUGAAUAAUGAUUCGUAGUUCGAUUAAUUCAAUCCCGGGGCGUUCUACAUAAUUGCAUACUAAUUUGUGUUUGGUUAAUUCCAUACAUUGUGGAAUGCAAUUG